UUAACUCAAAUUUGUAUGGAGUUGGAACGUUUGCUUAUGUUUGCCGCUAGGGGCGCUGUUCCAACUACAUACAAUAGUUA
rnacentral:pre_miRNA from 1 species